rnacentral:tRNA from 1 species
CACAUAAUAGCUUAAUUUAAAGCAUUAAACUUUUAAUUUAAAUAUAAGAAUAUUCUUUUAUGUGG